AUUCAAUUUUAGCCUUGAGCAGUUCUUCCAUGGGAUUUUCAAUGAAUAGGAUUAUAAAAUAUAGAGGCAGAUUGAGCUUGCAAAAAUGUUGUUGGCGGAGGGACAAAGUCAUCUUUUUGUACAUUGGCCUGAACAAGGUGUUGAUGAUGAAGAAAAGAAAAGUUUCUUUGAUCAGGUAACUCGGCUUAAUUCAACCUAUCUAAGUGGUUUGGCAUCAUAUAUUCGAAAUGCUAGGAAUCUAUUAGCAGAUUCAAAAGCAGAGAAAAAUCCAUUUAAUGGCUUUACUCCUUCGGUAAGUGAAUCCAUUAAAUUUGUUUUGCAAUCUGUGUGUCUUGUACAUUUCUGCCAGAAAUUUGUCUUUAAUUUCACUUUCUUUCUUUUUUAAUGAGAAAGAUUUGCUCUAUGGCUACGGUCGCACUGUGGGUACUCUUAUUUAGCUACGGAUUUUAUCCGUAGCUUUAGACCACUUUUCUGGUCGUGUAACAAAAGCUAACGAUUUAGCGGCGUCCAGCACAACUGUCAGUAAAGGCCCUGGCCGUCGGUAAAGCCUUUACCGACUGAGGCUUUACCAGCUGUUAGCUAACCGCAGGCAAAGGAUUUGCCGG